CACGUAGGUGACAAGCGUUGUCCGGAUUUACUGGGCGUAAAGAGCGCGCAGGCGGUCGUUCAAGUCGAGUGUGAAAGCCCCCGGCUCAACUGGGGAGGGUCAUUCGAUACUGAUCGACUCGAAGGCAGGAGAGGGUAGUGGAAUUCCCGGUGUAGUGGUGAAAUGCGUAGAUAUCGGGAGGAACACCAGUGGCGAAGGCGACUACCUGGCCUGUUCUUGACGCUGAGGCGCGAAAGCUAGGGGAGCAAACGGG
rnacentral:rRNA from 1 species